ACAACCCCAACUCCUCCCCCUCCGGCACUCCACUACUCUCCCUCUCUCCUCUCCUCUCCCAUUUACACUUUCCUCCAUUUCCAUCCUGGACCUCAGUUUAGGCCUGGAACAGAAGCAACAUCUUAUAUGAUACAUCCACUACCACUUCAAUCAAGCCAAGGGCAGAAAAGGGGAGAUCAGCCUGAAAUGCUUUGAGGGCAGAGAUUCAGGGGGGAUGUGUAUUAGUGUCUGAUGGUAAGCUCGGCCCUGAGAUGGAGGAUACCGUUGAUGAAGUAUAGACUGUCUUCAGCCACAAAGGAGGUCCAUGGUAUGGCAAAUAAGUUUCGGUACCCAACUGCCUUGCCUCCUGUGAAUGUGUAGUUUCCUUUGUAUUUGCUGAUGUACUCCUCUGUUGGUUUUGACCUUGCUGCAAACUCGUAGUCUACGGCGAAAGUCACUGAACCCUUUUCUUGCAUUCCCAGAAACAGGCCAAAGCAAUGGAUAGAGCUCUGCUGGUCCAUGUUGCAGUGUGCUGAGAGGAAGAAGCCUUGUCCCCCCAAGUGGAAUGCCUGAGAAUAUACCCGUCCGGAUGGGAAUAGAUUUAUGCACUCCUCCCGCUUUAGAUCCAGGUAAACAACACAUUGCUGUCGAGGAAGUUCAAACUCCACAACCUUGACUGGACGAUACUUGUAGGCCCGCUCCACGAAGCGACGGUUGGUGAGGGCGGAGUCCUCUGCAGCCAGGCUUCGCUGCCGAUGAGGGGCCUCAGCCUUGAAAAAUAGAGCCUCCAGCACAGCCUUGGAUGCAAGGUCGUGAUCAAAGUCAUUGCAGGUUAGAACCUUCUUAAGCUUCCUGCAGGUCAUAUAGGGGAAGCGGAUGAAGCGGCCCAGGCGUGUACCAAGGAUUUCACGCCGCUCCUCCAAUUUUGGGUACUGAGCCCUGGCCCACUUCAACACAAAAUCAUACACUGCAUCCUCUGAUGCAACCUGGAGAUCAUCACUGGAC
rnacentral:lncRNA from 1 species